GCAGUAGCCGGCUCUACGGAUCGCGAGCUGAGGCAAGUUCAGUCAGGACUCGAACGCACAGCCCUCGGUGGGCUGUGGGAACGGACCCUGAGAUCCUUACAGUUGGUACAAAGUGAGAAGUCUCAGACUUCAAGCAGUUUGACAGCUGGAACAAAACGCGGAAUGAUUCUCUGGGCCGUGAUUUUAAGAGCAUCUAAGCCAGUUGGCUCUGGAGUUUCUCAUGAGGCUGCAGUCAAGUGUUGAAGAUCUCAGGCUGGAAACCCAAAGAAUUGCAGUUUGAUCCCAAAUGAGAUCAGUGGGCAGAAUUCCCUUUUCUUUCAGGAAGGUCAGUCUUCUACUAAGGCCUUCAACUGACUGGAUGAAGCCCACUCACAUUAUCCUCAAGAGGCUCAGAGCUGGUCACAGGCAGACGUGCCCUUACUGCCUCCAGCCAUCUCUGCCCUGUUCAGCUGCCAGGACUGCUCGUACACAGAAUGGAAAGUACAUGGUGUUUGUUGCCCUUCAGUCCUUGCCUGGUGGCCAGGCUGUGCCUGCCCAUGUCUUUCAGAAUAUUACAGGACUCUGGGAUCCCAGGGUCAAGAGUAAGUUCUAAAAGUGUCUAAAACACUCAAACACACACUUUAUGAAUGUAAAUGAUAAAGACCCAGAGCUUUGGGGUUCUGCUGGGACUUCUGUGAGUGAAAACUUGAGUGUAUCCUGCUGUGCUCUGCCCACCUUCCACAUCUCCUUAUUGGAUCUACACUGAAAAUGAACAUCUUGCCAAGCUGGAUAUGGAAGCAUAUUAGGUUCUUUUAAGGCAGAGUGAGAAAAAACAAGAAAAAAUUAUAGAGGAAGGAAGGAAGGAAGGAAGGAAGAAAGAAAGAAAGAGAGAAAGAAAAAGAGAGA